AACUCUUCGGAGUUAGUGGCGGACGGGUGAGUAACACGUGGGAACGUGCCUUUAGGUUCGGAAUAACUCAGGGAAACUUGUGCUAAUACCGAAUGUGCCCUUCGGGGGAAAGAUUUAUCGCCUUUAGAGCGGCCCGCGUCUGAUUAGCUAGUUGGUGAGGUAAAGGCUCACCAAGGCGACGAUCAGUAGCUGGUCUGAGAGGAUGAUCAGCCACAUUGGGACUGAGACACGGCCCAAACUCCUACGGGAGGCAGCAGUGGGGAAUCUUGCGCAAUGGGCGAAAGCCUGACGCAGCCAUGCCGCGUGAAUGAUGAAGGUCUUAGGAUUGUAAAAUUCUUUCACCGGGGACGAUAAUGACGGUACCCGGAGAAGAAGCCCCGGCUAACUUCGUGCCAGCAGCCGCGGUAAUACGAAGGGGGCUAGCGUUGCUCGGAAUUACUGGGCGUAAAGGGAGCGUAGGCGGACAUUUAAGUCAGGGGUGAAAUCCCGGGGCUCAACCUCGGAAUUGCCUUUGAUACUGGGUGUCUUGAGUAUGAGAGAGGUGUGUGGAACUCCGAGUGUAGAGGUGAAAUUCGUAGAUAUUCGGAAGAACACCAGUGGCGAAGGCGACACACUGGCUCAUUACUGACGCUGAGGCUCGAAAGCGUGGGGAGCAAACAGGAUUAGAUACCCUGGUAGUCCACGCCGUAAACGAUGAUUGCUAGUUGUCGGGAUGCAUGC
rnacentral:rRNA from 1 species